UACGUAGGGUGCAAGCGUUGUCCGGAAUUAUUGGGCGUAAAGAGCUCGUAGGCGGUUUGUCGCGUCGAAUGUGAAAACCCGGGGCUCAACCCCGGGCCUGCAUUCGAUACGGGCAGACUAGAGUUCGGUAGGGGAGUCUGGAAUUCCUGGUGUAGCGGUGAAAUGCGCAGAUAUCAGGAGGAACACCGGUGGCGAAGGCGGGACUCUGGGCCGAUACUGACGCUGAGGAGCGAAAGCGUGGGGAGCAAACAGGG
rnacentral:rRNA from 1 species